AGAUGUCGAUAGACUCUUCGAAAUGCUUGAGAGACUUAUCUCUGCCCAACAGGCUCAGAAAGAGAGGAGGGAGCUGUUUGACCCUCCACCACUGCCACAGUAUAAGCCACCCCUGCAACGAGAAGAUCUAGUGCCACCCCAAUACAACCCUGCUUUUCUACCGUAUCAUCUGACACCGCCAUAAUAUAAUUUGGUGCCCCCACCUUAUAACCAGGUGCCACCACAAGGCCACCCGACCCCUCCCCAGCAUAAUCCAAUCCCGCUUCAACGCAAUGUAGAGUACCUCUCAGAGCAUUUUCAGCAUUUGAAGGAAAUGAAGUUUGCACACCUAGUCCAUAUUAAGAUGACAGUUAUCGGCUCUAUUGGUGACCUGUAUUUUAUUAAUAAAAGGUUGUCAAUAUUCACAAAUUUCACCGU
rnacentral:lncRNA from 1 species